CUAGAUAAGCAUUUGAAGCGGGCUACCAAUCACAGCAGAACACAGCUUGUCCUCCAUGAAAUGGGCACACUGUGCUUACAUAGUUCUGUUGUAUAGACAUCUUCGAAGCGAAGCGAGUUGUAACGCCACGCCACGGAGAAUCAGCAACGAAAGGCGGCGGCGAGUGGAGGACGCUUGGUUUCUCGGUGGAUGAGAUCUGCGAACAAGGGCUGGAGAUGUCGUCACCUCCAUCGCGGGGCUGCGGGGGCAUCACACCCAGACGGAGGCGCCGCCGCCACACCAGGUGGGAGCCCGUAUCUCGCUGGGCUUCGCUGCCUGAAGAUCUGAUCGGCGUGGUGGCGUCGCGCUUGCUUCCGAGCCGUCUGCACCGGCUGGCGGUCCGGCACUGCCUCCCCCCGCGGCCGCGGCGUCGCCGACCCGCGCUUCCACCCGCGCCGCUGGAUGAUGCUCCCCGAGGGCCACUGCCUCCACCCCGGCCACCCCGACCUCGCCGGCCAAGCUCGCUUCCUCAACCUCGACACGGGGACCUUGGUCCGCGUCUGGAUCCCGCUCCUCGGCGACCACUGCGCCAUCGAUUCCGUCGAGGGGCUUCUCCUUCUGCUGCGGGAUCCGGACCAGGAAGGCGCCGUCCGCCUCGUCAACCCGUUCACCGGCGACGUGACCGAGCUCCCACCCCUAGGGCCCCUCCUCCCGCAGCUGUACCCACUGCUGUUCAGCUGUCCUGCAGCCUACAGGAUCAGAAGGCUCGCGAUAAUCGUCUCUGCUUCUGUUUCCUUUAACGCUGCUGGAACCAUGACAGGCAUGCUUGCACUUCAUGAGGUGAGGCGUGUAGCCUUCGCUACCGCCAUGGACCGGCAAUGGACUCUGUCAGGCUGGGAAUGCCCAAGAGGGUAUCCACCAUUCUCAUUCCAGGGCAAGCUCUAUAUGCUGCAGACUCCCAGCUCGUGUGGCGAAAAGAUACACCAGGUUCUCCAGGUUGACCCACCUGUGCUGCAGGAUAGGACGGCUGCAGGAUAUGUGCUGCAACAGCCCAAGGUGAUCGCCACAAUCCCCGCACACAAACUCGUCUAUCCUUACGGUCUGGUAGAAUGUGGUUCGGAGAUCCUGGUGCUUUGUGGCCACAAUCAUUUGUUUCGGUUGGAGGAAGUUUUAGUUUGCAAACUCGCAGACCUUGUGCUGCAAAGGUUUAUCCCAAUCGAAGACAUCGGAGGCAAUACCUUGUUCCUUAAUGAAAGGACCAUAAGUGUCUCCUCUAAGAUUCUGCAUACAGUGAAGGGGGCCAAUGUUGUCUACCCUUGUUCAGGGCCACGCUAUCUUGGGCAGUACAACCUCAGCAGUGGCAGCUUGUCACCGGCAGUUGAUAGUUGCAGCCUGUAUGGCCGUGCACCGGGACCUAGUAACCUGGUCCACUACAUCUUCAGCUGCUGCAUUCGUAAUCAGUGGAGCAGAGGAAUACUAUUCAGAAAGGAAGCACCAAGUUGGUCCGUGCAAGAUGAAGAGCAAGUUCAAUAACGAGGCUGGUAUCCCUUGUUUCAUGCACGUGGUGCACCAGUGUUGGCUAGGGUUUGCCAAUACCCUCUCUUUUUUAAAUAAAUAAAAAACAUAUGCUAGUUCUUCUGCUACACUCAAGUCCAUGUGUUAUACACUAAUCCAAUUCGCCAACCAAUUAAAUGUUU